rnacentral:rRNA from 1 species
UACGUAGGAGACGAGCGUUGUCCGGAGUUACUGGGCGUAAAGGGUGCGCAGGUGGCGGCGCGCGUGGGGGGGUGAAGUCGCCCGGCUUAACUGGGCGGGGGGCCUUCCAGACGGCGUGGCUUGAGCAGCGGAGGGGGGACGUGGAAUUCCGGGUGGAGCGGUGAAAAUGCGUAGAUAUCAGGAGGAACACCAAUGGCGAAGGCAGCUCGCUGGGACGUGACUGACGCUGAGACGCGAAAGCGUGGGGAGCAAACAGG